rnacentral:lncRNA from 1 species
UCAAAAAAUAAUUACACUAAUCAAUUAAAAUUUAAAAUCAUCAAAGGGUUCUGUUUGUACAAUUCAAUGAAUCAGCUGUUCUCACUUAUCAGCUAAACUAAACUUACUCUUACAUCUCAAAAGGCCGCGGCGCCCACCCAUACGGCUAUACUCUCCUCGAACGAAUUUCACAAAAUUGGGUGCGGUGCGCUCAACUCGUAAAUGCACAACAAAACAAAAUAUUUCUAGUCGAUUAUUCAUUUCGACACACUUUCAUCACCAAGAAAGCUAAUAUCUUACAAAAAUACACCACUCCAGAGUAAAAGACCAAAUAGUACAUAAUGUAAAUCUUCAAGGUGCGAAAAUCCGGAACCACAGCCAGAUACCGUUGAGUUCGUUGAUGGAGCAAGAGAUGUGCUAUUUGUAAAGGUGCCGUUUCUUCCACCACUACAAUGCCCAAAACAACUCGUUAAGCAAAAAACCAACACUACGCAAGACUAAUAUUUUUCUUCCCACAAUUUUCACAUAAACAAAUUCACGUUUGUUAAACUUUUCCAAAAAAAAAACUACCCAAAACAAUUUCAAAAAAGGUUCCUAAAUUAUUCUUCUAAC